UGGGGAAUAUUGGACAAUGGGCGAAAGCCCGAUCCAGCCAUGCCGCGUGUGUAAAGAAGGUCUUCGGAUUGUAAAGCACUUUAAGUUGGGAGGAAGGGCAUUAACCUAAUACGUUAGUGUUUUGACGUUACCGACAGAAUAAGCACCGGCUAACUCUGUGCCAGCAGCCGCGGUAAUACAGAGGGUGCAAGCGUUAAUCGGAAUUACUGGGCGUAAAGCGCGCGUAGGUGGUUUGUUAAGUUGGAUGUGAAAUCCCCGGGCUCAACCUGGGAACUGCAUUCAAAACUGACUGACUAGAGUAUGGUAGAGGGUGGUGGAAUUUCCUGUGUAGCGGUGAAAUGCGUAGAUAUAGGAAGGAACACCAGUGGCGAAGGCGACCACCUGGACUAAUACUGACACUGAGGUGCGAAAGCGUGGGGAGCAAACA
rnacentral:rRNA from 1 species